rnacentral:misc_RNA from 1 species
GUGAAUCAUCGAAUCUUUGAACGCAAAUUGCGCCUUUUUCGGAAGGCAUGUCUGUUUGAGGGCACUAUUUAACAAAUAAUGUGCAUUUUGUGUGUACACGUUGAUGAGCUUUCCAAAAUUAUGUAUUAUUAUUUUUUGUGGUGUAUAAUUAUCAGUGCGAUGCUUUUUUUAUGUUCGAUUGUAGUAAAAUUUUUUCUUGCUUGGGUUGUGAAAAGAGUGAUUGCGCAAUGGGUGUGGCGAUUCUACUAAUUCUGCUCGAACGCCACUUUUUCUUGCG